AUGUUGGGUUAAGUCCCGCAACGAGCGCAACCCUUAUCUUUAGUUGCUACCAUUAAGUUGAGAACUCUAAAGAGACUGCCGGUGAUAAACCGGAGGAAGGCGGGGACGACGUCAAGUCAUCAUGGCCCUUAUGGGAUGGGCUACACACGUGCUACAAUGGAGGGUACAAAGAGCUGCCAACUGGCGACAGUGCGCAAAUCUCAUAAAACCCUUCGUAGUCCGGAUCGGAGUCUGCAACUCGACUCCGUGAAGUCGGAAUCGCUAGUAAUCGUGAAUCAGAAUGUCACGGUGAAUACGUUCCCGGGCCUUGUACACACCGCCCGU
rnacentral:rRNA from 1 species